CACGUAGGGCGCAAGCGUUGUCCGGAAUUAUUGGGCGUAAAGAGCUCGUAGGCGGUCUGUUGCGUCCGCUGUGAAAACUCGGGGCUUAACCCCCGAGCCUGCAGUGGAUACGGGCAGACUAGAGGUAGGUAGGGGAGAAUGGAAUUCCCGGUGUAGCGGUGAAAUGCGCAGAUAUCGGGAGGAACACCGGUGGCGAAGGCGGGUCUCUGGACAGUUCCUGACGCUGAGGCACGAAGGCCAGGGGAGCAAACGGG
rnacentral:rRNA from 1 species